rnacentral:rRNA from 1 species
UAGGGAAUCUUGCGCAAUGGGCGAAAGCCUGACGCAGCCAUGUCGCGUGAAUGAUGAAGGUCUUAGGAUUGUAAAAUUCUUUCACCGGGGACGAUAAUGACGGUACCCGGAGAAGAAGCCCCGGCUAACUUCGUGCCAGCAGCCGCGGUAAUACGAAGGGGGCUAGCGUUGCUCGGAAUUACUGGGCGUAAAGGGAGCGUAUGCGGAUAGUUUAGUCAGAGGUGAAAGCCCAGGGCUCAACCUUGGAAUUGCCUUUGAUACUGGCUAUCUUGAGUAUGGAAGAGGUAUGUGGAACUCAGGGUGUAGGGGUGAAAUUCGUAGAUAUUCGAAAGAACACCAGUGGCGAAGGCGACAUACUGGUCCAUUACUGACGCUGAGGCUCGAACGCGUGGGGAGCAAACAGG